GAAUAGAUACGAAAUACAGAAGAAACAAAAGUCGGAGUCGAUUCAUAGAUACGGUUGUUGUUGUUGUUGUUAUCUGUAUAGUAUUGCCAUUCUCCUUCUUUUUUCUUCGUGCCACGUUUCAUUUUUGGAUCGUUUUCUUGUUGUGUUCUUCUUGACACAAUACUGAUACGGUAGGUAGGUCGACUG
rnacentral:ribozyme from 1 species